GACGAACGCUGGCGGCGUGCCUAAUACAUGCAAGUAGAACGCUCAAGCUUGGUGCUUGCACCGCGCGGAUGAGUUGCGAACGGGUGAGUAACGCGUAGGUAACCUGCCUCUUAGCGGGGGAUAACUAUUGGAAACGAUAGCUAAUACCGCAUAAAAGUCUACAUCGCAUGAUUUUGACUUGAAAGGUGCAAUUGCAUCACUAAGAGAUGGACCUGCGUUGUAUUAGCUAGUUGGUGAGGUAACGGCUCACCAAGGCGACGAUACAUAGCCGACCUGAGAGGGUGGUCGGCCACACUGGGACUGGGACACGGCCCAGAAUCCUACGGGAGGCAGCAGUAGGGAAUCUUCGGCAAUGGGGGCAAACCUGACCGAGCAACGCCGCGGGAGGGAAGAAGGGUUUCGGAUCGUAAAGCUCUGGUGUAAGAGAAGAACGAGUGGGGGAGUGGAAAGUGCACACUGUGACGGUAACUGACCAGAAAGGGACGGCUAACUACGUG
rnacentral:rRNA from 1 species